rnacentral:rRNA from 1 species
AGUGAACGCUGGCGGCGUGCUUAACACAUGCAAGUCGAACGAGAACGGGAUAAGGCUUGCCUUAUUUGUCAGCUAAGUGGCGCACGGGUGAGUAAUAUAUAGGUAACGUGCCCCAAAGAAGAGGAUAACAGAUGGAAAACGUCUGCUAAGACUCUAUAUGCCUUUAUGACAUAAGUCAGCAAGGGAAAUAUUUAUAGCUUUGGGAUCGGCCUGUACAGUAUCAGUUAGUUGGUGAGGUAAUGGCUCACCAAGACAAUGACGCUUAACUGGUUUGAGAGGAUGAUCAGUCACACUGGAACUGAGACACGGUCCAGACUCCUACGGGAGGCAGCAGUGGGGAAUAUUGCACAAUGGACGAAAGUCUGAUGCAGCAACGCCGCGUGGAGGAUGACACAUUUCGGUGCGUAAACUCCUUUUAUAUAGGAAGAUAAUGACGGUACUAUAUGAAUAAGCACCGGCUAACUCCGU